ACAUAAUAAUAAUAACCAGCCCGAUAGACCUCUGCUCCUGUGCUCAGUGCUCUUAAGGACAAUAAUGACAACAGUCAUAAUAGCCACAGUUUAUUAAGCGCUUACUCUUCCAUCGCAGUGUUAAGCGCUUUGCAGGCAACAACCCUCGGAGAAACCUUGGCGGCGCGGCCCGCUGCUUGCUGUCUGAUGCAACAGUUUGCAACGCGGUUCUGGGAGUGGAGGCCUGUGGUGCGGCACUCGGGCCGCUGACGCGCAUGCGCCGGCUGUGUCCUGCCCCGCCCCGCGGCGGGAAUCUUUUCACCAGAUGUGCGGGGCGGGGAUGGAGGCGGGGCCGGAGGCGCGAAGACCUUUUGGCAGAUCGCGCUUGCGAUCUGAGCCGAAUUAGAGUUCUUCGCAGGCAUUGGCUGACUGACCCAGUGAUCCAAAAAAAAUCACCCCAAAGGAGCCUGGAGAGAGAAGUUAAAGAGCUAGCUGGCUUUUGAGUCGACCUCCCUUCCCGAGCCUCCGGAUUUCUGCUGCUGUCCCACCUAUCCUGCCCUGAACAUUUUCUUUGCAGGAGGGAACAUGUCACAUCAAUAUGUUCUGCCUUUCAGAUGUCUGACGAUCCAGAUGAAGACGAUUGUCUUCCAUAUACACAUUCCUCCGGUAUUAUAGAUUGUAACUGACUUCUAUUUUAUUAACUGUUUCUCUAAAUUAACUUUAAAUCGAUUCUCUUUUUAUGUACCCUUGCCUCAAGAGAUAACAUUAGAGAAACCAUAGCCUGAAAAUAAGCUCAGAACUAUUCAAAUAAAAAUGUUUGUUGUUGU
ensembl:lincRNA 2900072N19Rik RIKEN cDNA 2900072N19 gene